AAACAUGCAAGUCGAACGCGAAAGCCCCUUCGGGGGCAAUUAGAGUGGCGAAAGGGCGAGGAAUACGUUCCCAUGUACCCCCAGGUCGGGGAUAGCCCGGAGAAAUCCGGAGUAAUACCCGAUGUGGUCCUUCGGGAUCAAAGGCUUCGGUCGCCAGGGGAGCGGGGAACGCCCUAUCAGGUUGUUGGUGAGGUAACGGCUCACCAAGCCGAAGACGGGUAGCGGGUGUGAGAGCAUGACCCGCCGCAUCGGGACUGAGACACUGCCCGGACUCCUACGGGAGGCUGCAGU
rnacentral:rRNA from 1 species